rnacentral:rRNA from 1 species
AUUGAACGCUGGCGGCAGGCCUAACACAUGCAAGUCGAGCGAGUGGCGGACGGGUGAGUAAUGUCUGGGAAACUGCCCGAUGGAGGGGGAUAACUACUGGAAACGGUAGCUAAUACCGCAUACCAUCGGAUGUACCCAUAUGGGAUUAGCUAGUAGGUGGGGUAAAUGCUCACCUAGGCGACGAUCUCUAGCUGGUCUGAGAGGAUGACCAGCCACACUGGAACUGAGACACGGUCCAGAUUCCUACGGGAGGCAGCAGUGGGGAAUAUUGCACAAUGGGCGCAAGCCUGAUGCAGCCAUGCCGCGUGUAUGAAGAAGGCCUUAGGGUUGUAAAGUACUUUCAGCGGGGAGGCGUUACCCGCAGAAGAAGCACCGGCUAACUCCGUGCCAGCAGCCGCGGUAAUUC